rnacentral:sRNA from 1 species
GUUGUCAGUGCGUGAACUUCUAUGAUAACUGUUUAAACACUGAGUAACGAAACAACAGAUUUCACUAUUUAUGAGCCUACUUGUCCAAGUGAUUAGCCUAGUCGUGAUUAGCGUGGUGGUGAUUAUUAUCCCACCGUGCGGGGCAGCACUUGGACGAAUAAAGGCUUAGUAAUCAGGCCUGAGUCAAAAAAGAGCCCCCGCACCAUCCGGUUCGGGGGCUCUUUUUUUUACGCUGUAACCGGUCGGGCAGGGAUGUCAGGAUUCAGAAUAAAAUUCUGUGAUU